rnacentral:rRNA from 1 species
GAUGAACGCUGGCGGCGCGCCUAACACAUGCAAGUCGAACGGCACCCCUCUCCGGAGGGAAGCGAGUGGCGAACGUCUGAGUAACACGUGGAGAACCUGCCCCCUCCCCCGGGAUAGCCGCCCGAAAGGACGGGUAAUACCGGAUACCCCGGGGUGCCGCAUGGCACCCCGGCUAAAGCCCCGACGGGAGGGGAUGGCUCCGCGGCCCAUCAGGUAGACGGCGGGGUGACGGCCCACCGUGCCGACAACGGGUAGCCGGGUUGAGAGACCGACCGGCCAGAUUGGGACUGAGACACGGCCCAGACUCCUACGGGAGGCAGCAGUGGGGAAUCUUGCGCAAUGGGGGGAACCCUGACGCAGCGACGCCGCGUGCGGGACGGAGGCCUUCGGGUCGUAAACCGCUUUCAGCAGGGAAGAGUCAAGACUGUACCUGCAGAAGAAGCCCCG